AUACUUACCUUGUGGAGGCUGCCGAGCUCAAGAAGUCGGUUGGCCAUCGCGAUGUCCCUGCAUUGCACAUCGUGGAGGACGUCGUGAUUGAGUGUCCUUCGGGGCUCUCAUUCGCGCAUUUUUUGGCCU
rnacentral:snRNA from 14 species